GGCUGGGACCUUGAUUGAUUUUAUUAAGCCCUUAACACCUUGUUUAAGGGUUUUUGUAGUAUGUAAAUGGUGAGGAGUUUUCCCUGGGAACCUUCAUCAUCUUGACGAGCCUCAUUCACCUCAAGCCUUCAGAAGUCUU